UACAGAGGUCUCAAGCGUUGUUCGGAUUCAUUGGGGCGUAAAGGGGCGCGUAGGCUGCGGGGGUAAGUCGGGUGUGAAAAUCUCAGAGCUCAACUCUGAAACUGCACUCGAUACUGCUUUGCUUGAGGACUGGAGAGGAGAUUGGAAUUCACGGUGUAGCAGUGAAAUGCGUAGAUAUCGUGAGGAAGACCAGUGGCGAAGGCGGAUCUCUGGACAGUUCCUGACGCUGAGGCGCGAAGGCCAGGGGAGCAAACGGG
rnacentral:rRNA from 1 species